UACAGAGGUCUCGAGCGUUGUUCGGAAUUACUGGGCGUAAAGCGUGUGUAGGCGGUGUUCCCAGUCUGUUGUGAAAUCUCCCGGCUUAACUGGGAGGGUGCAGCGGAAACUAGAAUGCUAGAGGGUGGGAGAGGUAAGCGGAAUUCCUGGUGUAGCGGUGAAAUGCGUAGAUAUCAGGAGGAACACCUGUGGUGUAGACAGCUUACUGGACCGCUUCUGACGCUGAGACACGAAAGCGUGGGUAGCAAACAGG
rnacentral:rRNA from 1 species